AGUUCGAUUAUGGCUCAGAUUGAACGCUGGCGGGAUGCUUUACACAUGCAAGUCGAAACGGCAGCACGGACUUCAUUCGGUAUGCGGCGAACGGCAGUAAUGUAUUAACGCGCUAGUAGCGGGGAUACGCGAAAGCGUAGCUAAUACUGCACACACCUUCAGAGUUGGGACCUUUCGGGCCUCGCACUAUUAGAGCGGCCGAUAUCGGAUUAGCUAGUUGGUGGGGUAACGGCUCACCAAGGCGACGAUCCGUAGCUGGUUUGAGAGGACGACCAGCCACACUGGGACUGAGACACGCCCAGGCUCCUACGGAGGCAGCAGUGGGGAAUUUGGACAAUGGGAAACCCCGAUCCACGACCCCGGCGUGUGCGAUGAAGGCCUUCGGUUGUAAAGCACUGCAGGAAAGAAACGGCACGAUACCCCAGCAACUGACGGCACCUUUGCAGAAUAAGCACCGGCUAACUACGUGCCAGCAGCUAGUAAUACGUAGGUGCAAGCGUUAAUCGGAAUUACUGGGCGUAAAAAGCGUGCGCAGGCGGUUCGGAAAGAAAGAUGAAAUCCCAGAGUUCAUAACUCUUGAACUGCAUUUUUAACUACCGAGCUAGAGUGUGUCAGAGGGAGGUGGAAUUCCGCGUAGUGCGGGAAAUGCGUAGAUAUGCGGAGGAACACCGAUGGCGAAGGCAGCCUCCUGGGAUAACACUGACGCUCUAUGCACGAAAGCGUGGGGAGCAAACAGGAUUAGAUACCCCAGUGUCCACGCCCUAAACGAUGCCAACUAGCUGUUGGGGCCUUCGGGCCUUGGUAGCGCAGGCUAACGCGUGAAGUUGACCGCCUGGGGAGUACGGUCGCAAGAUUAAAACUCAAAGGAAUUGACGGGGACCCGCAUGCCGCAGAUGAUGCAGAUUAAUUCGAUGCACCGGAAAACCUCACCUACCCUUGACAUGUCUGGAAUCCCGAAGAGAUUUGGGAGUGCUCGCAAGAGAACCGGAACACAGGUGCUGCAUGGCUGUCGUCAGCUCGUGUCGUGAGAUGUUGGGUUAAGUCCCGCAACGAGCGCAACCCUUGUCAUUAGUUGCUACGAAAGGGUACUCUGACGACGUUACAGACAAACCGGAGGUGUGGAUGACGUCAAGUCCUCAUGGCCCUUACGGGUGGGCUUCGUACACGUCAUACAAUGGUCGUGGACAGAGGGUCGCCAACCCGCGAGGGGGAGCCAAUCCCAGAAACCUGAUCAGGUUCAAUGAUCAGAAGUCUGCAACUGACUGCGUGAAGUCGGAAUCGCUAGUAAUCGCGGAUCAGCAUGUCGCGGUGAAUACGUUCCCGGGUCUUGCACACCGCCGCUCCGUCACACCAUGGGAGUGGGCUUACCAGAAGUAGUUAGCUCCAACCGUACAGAGUGGCGAUUACCACGGUAGGAUUCAUGACUGGAAGAAGUCGCACAGGUAACUUCUGAU
rnacentral:rRNA from 1 species